rnacentral:rRNA from 1 species
AUUGAACGCUGGCGGCAGGCCUAACACAUGCAAGUCGAGCGAGCGGCGGACGGGUGCGUAAUGCCUAUGAAUCUGCCUGUUCGUGGGGGAUAACGUCCGGAAACGGGCGCUAUUACCGCAUACCAUCGGAUGUGCCCAGAUGGUAUUAGCUUGUAGGUGAGGUAACGGCACACCUAGGCGACGAUCCCUAGCUGGUCUGAGAGGAUGACCAGCCACACUGGAACUGAGACACGGUCCAGACUCCUACGGGAGGCAGCAGUGGGGAAUAUUGCACAAUGGGCGCAAGCCUGAUGCAGCCAUGCCGCGUGGAUGAAGAAGGCCUUCGGGUUGUAAAGUACUUUCAGCGGGGAGGCGUUACCCGCAGAAGAAGCACCGGCUAACUCCGUGCCAGCAGCCGCGGUAAUAC